rnacentral:rRNA from 1 species
UACGGGGGGGGCAAGCGUUGUUCGGAAUUACUGGGCGUAAAGCGCUCGCAGGUGGUUCGUUGCGUCGUGCGUGAAAGACCCCGGCUCAACUGGGGAGUGUCGUGCGAUACGGGCGGACUGGAGGCCAGUAGGGGGAUGCGGAAUUCCGGGUGUAGUGGUGGAAUGCGUAGAGAUCCGGAGGAACACCAGCGGCGAAGGCGGCAUCCUGGACUGGUCCUGACACUCAGGAGCGAAAGCGUGGGGAGCGAUCCGG